UACGGAGGGGGCAAGCGUUAUUCGGAAUUAUUGGGCGUAAAGGGCGCGUAGGCGGCUAGAUGUGUCAAAGGUGAAAUCCCUCGGUUCAACUGAGGAACUGCCUUUGAAACUGUCUGGCUUGAGGCCGGGAGAGGGUAGCGGAAUUCCCAGUGUAGCGGUGAAAUGCGUAGAUAUUGGGAGGAACACCAGUGGCGAAGGCGGCUACCUGGACCGGUUCUGACGCUGAGGCGCGAAAGCGUGGGUAGCAAACAGG
rnacentral:rRNA from 1 species